rnacentral:rRNA from 1 species
UACGUAGGGUGCAGGCGUUAAUCGGAAUUACUGGGCGUAAAGCGUGCGCAGGCGGUCUUUUAAGUCAGAUGUGAAAUCCCCGGGCUUAACCUGGGAACUGCGUUUGAAACUGGAAGGCUAGAGUGUGGCAGAGGGGGGUGGAAUUCCACGUGUAGCAGUGAAAUGCGUAGAUAUGUGGAGGAACACCGAUGGCGAAGGCAAUCCCCUGGACCUGUACUGACGCUCAUGCACGAAAGCGUGGGGGGCAAACAGG